AAAAAAAAAUUAUGAAUGUGGCAGGUGAAGAUUAUAAUUAAUAACUUAUUUUGGAGGCCAGAAAUGACAUGCGAAGAUUAAUAAUUUUAACUUAAUUUGCAGGCUAAUUAUGGUAUCCCCAAAUUAGCUGGAAAAAAAAAAACUGUUGUAACUUGUUGCAUGCGUGAGAGUCAGUUGUUUCUUAGGACUUCGCUUCUUUAAAAAAAAAAAAAAGAAAAAAAAAGGGAAGUACAAAUAUCAGGCUUUUGUUUUGCUCAUAAAUAUUUACUGUUUAGGUUUUCACUUUUGGGAAACAGUCAAGUCACAAACCCUAGAAGCUGACCCUAAUCGAUCAUGGAUCCUCAGCCUCAGCCAGAGCAAGUCAAGUACAUCUGCGGAGGUUGUGGGGAGGAAGUCACUUUGAAGCCAAACGAAAAGGUUCAGUGCCGUCACUGCGAUUACUCUAUCUUGUUCAAGAAGCGUACUCGUCGUAUCGUGGAGUUUCUGGCACGCUAGGGAUGAAUGAGGAUGGAAUAAUUAUAUAUACAACUGUGGCAUGUGAUGUCCUACGUGUUCUGAUUUGCUCAUGUGGGUUUGGGAUUUAUCAGCAAUUAGUAUAUAGAAAAGAAUGUUAGUAGGGCAAUGUGACCAGUUUACGGCUUGGUCUUUAAAAUAAUAUCAUAUUUUAAUUGAUGUCUGUUUUUUUAUAUUUUUAAAUUUGUAUUUGGUGAUUAAAAUAGUGUCUUCGCUGUUGAUGAGCUUACAAGUCCAUAAGCAACUGGUAUUGUUCAGCGUAACUGUAAGAACAUAUUUUAGAAGAGCAUAAGAAACUUGGGGAAUAGAAUGAUUAUGAUGCUGCAAGUCAUUCUACAACUAAACUUUCCAAAGUUCUACAUAAUGGUCAUCGCCUCUUGCGAAAGCAUGAGACAUGACAGUUAGUCCAUUUUCAUUGGUGGCGGUCAUGUCUGGCCCUAGCCGCCAAACAGGUAUCAGACUUCGACCUUGUUGAUCAGGACCGGCUGGUGGCAUUUCGUUGUCCUUCAAAGAAUGAGAAGUUGAGUCAUAUUUUACCAACCUUAAAUGAGAAUGGAAGGAAUGGUGGAGUAGAGUCUGGUUCAAGCACUAAUGGUGGAGUAAAGUGUGGUUCAAGCACUUUAAGAAGAGAUUGAAUCUGCAGUAGGGUUUGAGCACCAAGCACAUUCAAUAGAUAUCAGGGCACUCUAGGUAGGGAAUCAUCAAACACAAACGCAAAACAUGAAAAAUUGGAAAGAAAAAUAAACAUCACGCAUUCGACAAUUUACUCACUGAACUCAUAAAAGGAUUAACCAUAUGAUAUUUCCAGCAUAAGGUCAUAGAUCCAACUUUUAACGGUAGGCAUUAUACGAAGAGCAACCUCAAAUUUGGGACUGCAAUAGCAGAAGUUGAAAUCCGAGAAUUUACAAAUAUUUCGUACUUCUUAAAAGUCUUAUUUACAUAAUAACUUGACUGCACUGGGAUU